UACGGAGGAUGCGAGCGUUAUCCGGAUUUAUUGGGUUUAAAGGGUGCGUAGGCGGACGCUUAAGUCAGCGGUAAAAUUGCGGGGCUCAACCUCGUCGAGCCGUUGAAACUGGGUGCCUUGAGUGGGCGAGAAGUACGCGGAAUGCGUGGUGUAGCGGUGAAAUGCAUAGAUAUCACGCAGAACUCCGAUUGCGAAGGCAGCGUACCGGCGCCCAACUGACGCUGAAGCACGAAAGCGUGGGCAUCGAACAGG
rnacentral:rRNA from 1 species